GUUUCUGAGGAGGAGGAAGAAUCAGCUGACCAAGGGUUCACAGGGGUCUUGGUUUACACUAGAGUUUUCAAUGUUAAAGAUUUCUGUACUUUUAUCCAGUCUCAAUGUACAGCCUGAACCAUGGACAUUUUCUGAACCAUCACCAUGGAACACCAUACUGAGUGGGUCUUAAAGGUGAAGGGAAGAGCUAGAUCAGCUUUAAAGCCAUUCAGCACCAGCUGCGUGGAAGGAGCCAAGGAAACAAGUUACGAUCCAAACCAGAAACUCAACAUCAUCCUAUGUCUUUCGAGUUGUGUGUGAGGAAGCCGGACG
rnacentral:lncRNA from 11 species